rnacentral:rRNA from 1 species
AAGUCGUAACAAGGUUUCCGUAGGUGAACCUGCGGAAGGAUCAUUAAUGAAUAAACUGGUGUUCUUCGGAACCCAAACCCCCUCAUUAUCCUUCUACCUGUGAACUGUCAUAGCGUGUUUGUGUGUUGCUUUUGCGACGCACAGACUUUGCUACAUCAAUUUUAUAUAAACAACGUCCAAAAAGAAUGUGAUUUUAUAAAUCAAAUUGUGUAAUGCAAUAUGAAAAUAACAAAAUACAACUUUUAGCAACGGAUCUCUUGGCUCUCGCAUCGAUGAAGAACGCAGCGAAUUGCGAUAAGUAAUGUGAAUUGCAGAAUUCAGUGAAUCAUCGAAUCUUUGAACGCACCUUGCACCCUUUGGUAUUCCGAAGGGUAUGCCUGUUUGAGUGUCUUGAAACUCUCAAAUCUUGUAUUUCCUAUUUUUUUGGGAAAUGCAGGCUAUUUUGGUCUUGAGCGUUUUUGCCAGUUUUAUUGUCACCGAUAUGAACUGGCUCGCUUUAAAUGAAUUAGCUGAGCUCUAUUGUAUAAACAGUCUCACACAAGCGUAAUACAUAUUUCGUUUGUUUUGUUGCUCCUUCACGAGAGCGCAAGGAUCGUUAGAACAACCAAGCUUGUGCUGCCUUAAUCUGCUCAUCGAAAGAUGUACCAUUUAACAUAUUCAUCAGACCUCAAAUCAGGUAGGACUACCCGCUGAACUUAAGCAUAUCAAUAAGCGGAGGAAAAGAAACUAACAAGGAUUCCCCUAGUAACGGCGAGUGAAGCGGGAAGAGCUCAAAUUUUAAAUCUCACAGUCUCAGAUUGUGCGAGUUGUAAACUAGAGAGGUAUUUUCGUGCUGGCCUGCGUACAAGUCUCUUGGAAUAGAGCGUCAUAGAGGGUGAGAAUCCCGUUCUUGACGUAGACAACCAGUGCAUUGUGAUAUACCUUCGAAGAGUCGAGUUGUUUGGGAAUGCAGCUCAAAAUGGGUGGUAAAUUCCAUCUAAAGCUAAAUAUUGGCGAGAGACCGAUAGCGAACAAGUACCGUGAGGGAAAGAUGAAAAGCACUUUGAAAAGAGAGUGAAAUAGUACGUGAAAUUGCUAAAAGGGAAACGCUUGAAGUCAGUCGCGCCUUGGGGGGUUUUUCCCCCCUCUGGCGGGUCAGCAUCAGUUUCGAUCGUUGGAUAAAGGCAGUUGGAAUGUAGCUUUUCGGAGUGUUAUAGCCUUCUGUCGCAUGCAACGGUUGGGACUGAGGAACGCAGCACGCCGUCGUUUACGUCGGUUGGUCUUCGGACACACACGUGCUUAGGAUGCUGGCAAAAUGGCUUUAAACGACC